rnacentral:rRNA from 1 species
UACGUAGGUGGCAAGCGUUGUCCGGAUUUACUGGGCGUAAAGAGCGCGCAGGCGGUCGCUCAAGUCGCGUGUGAAAGCCCCCGGCUCAACUGGGGAGGGUCACGCGAUACUGAUCGACUGGAAGGCAGGAGAGGGUAGUGGAAUUCCCGGUGUAGUGGUGAAAUGCGUAGAUAUCGGGAGGAACACCAGUGGCGAAGGCGACUGCCUGGCCUGUUCUUGACGCUGAGGCGCGAAAGCGAGGGGAGCAAGCGGG